UGUAAAAAUUUGCUGUAACUCAUGCAGUAAAAUACUGUGAUUUACAACAGUAAUAUGUUGUAAUAACGAUUUUACGAUAAUUAACUGUAUAAGUACGUUGCUGUACAGUAUAUUGCUGUAAACAUCAGUGUCGUAGAGCAUGGGAACAAAUAUCUACAGUAAGCUAGUGUAAAGGAGCGUGCAAAAAGCAUUGUGGGAUACAGCGCACAUGCGCAUUAGGCGGAUCGGCUGCAUAUAUGCGCGUAUGCGUUGCACGUGAUUGGCUCCCGCGCUAGCCCGCCACGCCGCGCCGCCAUUUUUAAUUUUCUGCAAAGAUUUGAGCUGAAAUAUAUAGCUGAGCUGGCCGGCCUGAUCCUGAGCAACGAAUCUGAAUCUGUUCUGUUCCUGGUCCUGAUCCUCGAGCUGGGAUAUUGAUGACCAAUAAGUCAAUUCCAAGGGGAUCCGAGUAUGCCAUGGAUUACUGCUGAAGUCACACAGUGUGCAUGCUGAAACACUAAUCAGACGGAUGCUCUACAUGGACAUCAUAUACCCAUGUACGUUUGUAAGCUAUGUAAUCAUUCUUCUGGAUCAUUGAAGCGGUUUUCUGAACACUUUUCAGUCCAUAGAAAUGUGGUGAAUUUCGAUUUCCCGUGUGGUGUUCCUGGCUGCAAUCGAACAUUCAGAAAUUAUUCAUCCUUCAAAACCCAUGUGCAUAGGGAUCAUCAACCAUUUUCAAGAAAAAAAGAUGCCCAGUUUUUCUGCGUUUCUACCUGGAAUUGUCCACUCUGUGCUGUAAAAUGUGAGGAAAUCCAUGACAUACUUUCUCAUCUUAGAGUUCAUAUCAAACACGGAGUUGAAAUACGCUGUCCUUUUGCCAAUUGCAAAAAACGUUUUUCAGUGAGGUCGUCUUUUGCGUCACAUAUAUCAAGAGUUCACAAUAAGUUAGACCAGAUUCAGUUAGACUCAACUUCAAGUGAAACUGGUACUGUGUUAACUGAAUCCGCCCAAGAAAAUAAUCAGGAGUUUCCUGGAAGACUGCACUCAAGUGACGAGGAAAGUGUGACAGAUGAUGAAGUAGAUGUAUCCGCUGACUCAUUCAAACACAGCUUAUCCUUGUUUUAUCUGAAGUUGGAGGCAAAAUUACUACUGCCCAACUCUACAAUUCAGGAAAUAAUUGACACAGUUCAGGAUAUUCAUGCAUUAAGCCAACAAAAUUUGAUACCAAAAUUAAAAAAGAAACUUUAAGGAAUAGGAAUUACCGAUGAUGAGGUUACCAACGUUUUAACUUUAUUUAAAUCUGAGGAUUUGUUCAGUGCUUCAAAUUGUAAAGAAUUUCGAUCAGAGUCUACAAGAAAAUCACAUUUUAAAGCAGUUUUUGAUUAUGUUUCCCCAACUGAGAUAUAUUUAGGAGAAGAUCAGUUUGGCAAACAGCGAUUUUGCCAAUACAUUAAAAUUCAAGACACACUAAGAGCAUUAUUCAAGCAGAACUCAUUUAUCAAAGAUUACAAAGAGACUCAUAAAGCUCAACCUGCUUUACAAAGGACCAUUCUAUGUGAUGUUUAUGAUGGCAGAGCAUUCCCAAAAGAUGAGCCUUUGCAUAAAAACUCAGCAGUAACACUCAUAUUGUACCAAGAUUCUUUCGAAGUAGUAAAUCCACUAGGCAGUGGGAAAAAAAAACAUAAAAUUCUAGCUGUGUAUGCUACCCUCGCUGAUAUACAGCCCUACAAUAGAUCAAACAUUGAUCAUAUUUUCUAUUUUCUUUGUUCAUUGUGCACAUUGGUAAUUCUAUUUCAUUAAUUUCUGUAUAUCAUGUAUAUUUUCUUAUUGUCAAGUAUGUUUUACGGUUUUUGUUAUUUUGCACAGCCCCUUUGUAAACCAGCCGAGUAGCUGAAUAGGGCUUUUACCGUCAAUAAAUCAAUCAAUCAAUCAAUUGAAUGACAGCUCAUGAAGUUGAAACAAGUUUCUGUGCAGAAUUGGCAUGUAAAUGAGACAAAAAUACAGAAGAAUAUGAAACACGUAUUAAAGAUUACAAGUUUAAUAUAACAGAGCAACUCAAAUUAAAUGGGGUAUUAGUUCAAAAGAUAAAUUAAACAAAAAUAAAGUGAGUAAUGUCUUUUGGAGAGAUUCUACCAGGUAUAGAGAGUUUUCCUUGAUUCUGCCAGGUAUAUGGAGACUUUUCAUUGAUUGUAUUCUGAUAGUAGUUGUCGUUUAAUAGUGGCUUUAAAGGAAGAUAAAAGUGUAUAAAAUAUGUCUUGUUUACAAUUGAAGAUAAUUCUUUACAAUAGUUUUUUACAAUUCAGAAUUUUAAAGUGAACAUAUUGUUGUCUGUUCGACAAAUAAUUUUUGACCCAAGAAAGUGCAGUGCCCCUAAGCCAUACGUUGUGAUUUAGCAUAUCAAUGCCUUAAAGCCGCUAUGUCUGCACAAUUGCAUGUGUUAUUCUGUCGUAUAAUUAAAUUAAUGCUAGGUCGGGUGAAUGAUUUUUUUUAAAGCCAUAUUGGUUGGGAUUAAGCAAGUUAUGUGUAUUUCAGAAUUGGUAUAAUCUAAACAAUUUUUUCAAGAAUUUUUGAGAUACUGGAAGGAUGACUAUGGGUCUGUAGAUUCUUGAGUACUUGAACUUUUGCAGUUUUUAGUGGUUUUACUUGUUUUAAUGUUUUACUUGAUAGUUUCUUUGCAAGCAUUUUCAUAAUGUUACACUAUUUGAGAAACUUGUUUUAUGGAGCGUUGAUUACCCAAUAAAGACUUUAAUAAUGA
rnacentral:lncRNA from 1 species